GGAGGAAAAGAAACCAACAGGGAUUGCCCUAGUAAUGGCGAAUGAACAGGCAAAAGCUCAGAUUUGAAACCCUCGGGAUUGUAAUCUGGAGACCUGGAUUUGGCACGCUGACCAAGUCUUCUGGAACGGAGCGCCAUGGAGGGUGACAGCCCCGUAGCAGCAGCCGCAGUAAAUCCGGGUCGACGAGUCGAGUUGUUUGGGAAUGCAGCUCUAGUGGGUGGUAUGCUCCAUCUAAAGCUAAAUAUUGGCGAGAGACCGAUAGCGAACAAGUACUGUGAAGGAAAGAUGAAAAGAACUUUGAAAAGAGAGUGAAAAAGUACGUGAAAUUGUUGAAAUGGAAGGCAAUGAGGUGCGAUUGACCCGGACGUUUGCGGGCAGCACAAAAGCGCAGGCCGCCUCGGCAUUGCCUGCGUGCAUACUGCCUCGCGGACCACCGGUUCUAACAACGCCUUAUUGCACCCGUCUUGAAACACGGACCAAGGAGUCUAUUGCCUAUGCGAGUGUUUGGGUGGCAAACCCAUACGCGCAGUGAAAGCACACGGUUCGAACCUUUUGGGGGCAGAACCGGCCGAACUCUCCAGGGAGUAUUGAGCAAGCAGAGGUGAUGGGACCCGAAAGAUGGUGAACUAUGCCUGAAUAGGGUGAAGCCAGAGGAAACUCUGGUGGAGGCUCGCAGCGGUUCUGACGUGCAAAUCGAUCGUCGAAUUUGGGU
rnacentral:misc_RNA from 1 species